CCCGCAACGAGCGCAACCCUACUCAUCUGUUGCCAGCAUUUAAGGUGGAGGACUCAGAUGAGACUGCCGGUGACAAACCGGAGGAAGGUGGGGACGACGUCAAGUCAUCAUGGCCCUUAUGUCCUGGGCUACACACGUGCUACAAUGGCCGGUACAGAGUGAAGCGAAACCGCGAGGUGAAGCAAAACGCAGAAAGCCGGUCUCAGUACGGAUUGGAGUCUGAAACUCGACUUCAUGAAGUUGGAAUCGCUAGUAAUCGCGCAUCAGCAUGGCGCGGUGAAUACGUUCCCGGGCCUU
rnacentral:rRNA from 1 species